GUGGGGAAUCUUAGACAAUGGGGGCAACCCUGAUCUAGCCAUGCCGCGUGAGUGAUGAAGGCCUUAGGGUCGUAAAGCUCUUUCGCCGGGGAAGAUAAUGACUGUACCCGGUAAAGAAACCCCGGCUAACUCCGUGCCAGCAGCCGCGGUAAUACGGAGGGGGUUAGCGGUGUUCGGAAUUACUGGGCGUAAAGCGCGCGUAGGCGGAUCGGAAAGUUGGGGGUGAAAUCCCGGGGCUCAACCCCGGAAUUGCCUUCAAAAAUGCCGGUCUUGAGGUCGAGAGAGGUGGGUGGGAUUCCGAGUGUAGAGGUGAAAUUCGUAGAUAUUCGGAGGAACACCAGUGGCGAAGGCGACUCACUGGCUCGAUACUGACGCUGAGGUGCGAAAGCGUGGGGAGCAAACAGGAUUAGAAACCCGAGUAGUCC
rnacentral:rRNA from 1 species